GCAGCUUUCAUUUUCCGGCCACCAUGGACGGCGGCGACAGCGGCGGUCCGGCGACACUCCGGCGAGGCUCCGAGAGACAGAAUUCUCUUCUCUCCGAGCUGAUCAUGGAAUCGUCGCCCGAUUCUCAACUGGUACGUUCUAAAACUAAAUUCUCAAUUUUUUUUUUGCAUAUAAAGAACUAAUUGAUUAAAGAAUUUAAUUGAGUUAUUAAAUAGAUUGAAUUGAAUAAUAAGAAAUUAAAUUAUUGGAAUAGCUUAAAUAUGUAUAGACAUUAUAAUCUUUUGUAAAUAAAUUAGAUG
rnacentral:lncRNA from 1 species